ACAUCCUGGGCUGACAUACUUCAGUUAACAAGAACAGUUAGCCAGAAGCAGAACUACAGAGCCCAAAAGGCAAGGCCUGGAACUCCCCAUCUUCUCCCCGAGCCACCAAGUUGGCAAGACUCUCCCACCCCUGUACCUGCCAACUGAUGGGUGGAGGCUAGAACUGCUUGGUGUCCUGAGGAACCUGCGCACUCAGGUACCCGUCCUGGGUAACUUAGCUUCUAGCAGCAGAGGCUCCGCAGUGCACCCGCCCCAUCGGACUUGUCUGCUUCUCUGGGUCCCUUGCCCCGACCCAGAUGCAUCCACAUCCGCAUCCGCAGGGCAGAAUUAUGACAAGAGCCCUGUUCAGUUAGCUUCGGUCCGCGGAUUGCAGCCCGGGAGCCGCCUCUUUGCACCUCCUGCAGCCCUCAGCCUAGUCCCUGCCCUCCCAGGUGAGUUGGGCGCCUCCUGGUGGCCGCGAGGGGAACUCGCCUAGCCUGGGCUGUAGGCGGAGCUAUGAAACUUAGUACCCCAUGAACAGCAAGCUUUCUUUUCUACAUUGUGGGUCUCUCUCUCUCCCACUACCUGCCUCCCCUCCUCCAUCUUUCCUGCAGGGCUGGAGCCUGUGUGAGGAGGAACCAGCCAGUAUAGUGGCCUCUCCUCUGAAAACCCCCAACCCCACCGCCCUUGUAAUCAACGCCCUGUCCAACCAACCUUGCUCCCUCAAGUUGGAACGCUAUCUCCAUUGAUCGCCACCUACAGGUGCCCACACACAUAAUACACAUGCACUCAUAAAAUAAACGAAUAAAUAAAUAGAUAGAUAGAUAGAUAGAUAGAUAGAUAGAUGGAGUAAAAAGGUUCGGAGGUAAGAGAACUUUUUGUGCAAACAUUAGGAUCUGAUUACAACCCCCUAGCACCAUAUAAAGAGCCAGACAAGGUCCCAGUUCCUGAAACUCUGGCCGUGGAGUGGGGUGACCAGGUUCGCUGGGACUUUAGUAGCCCAGCUCCAGGUUUAGUAGUGACAGACUCAGUCUGAAGGAAUAAGACAGAGAGUGGCAAAGCAAGACACCCAGCCACCUUUCUUUGGCCCCAGGAGCUGAGCUGAGUCAGCACUGUCGACGGACCAAAAAAAAAAAAAAAAAAAAAAAAAAAGGUAAAAA
rnacentral:lncRNA from 14 species